GGGCGGCCCACGCACUGGAACGGGUCCACGUCCUGCAGACACAUUCUGGGACUGCACCUUAUGAGCGCCGCUCACUCUGUAUCCUGCAGAAGACAUACAGAGCCGUUCACAUAGAGGGAACCUGUGGCCUGCAAGAAUCGAGGAAUAUUGUUUCUGACAUGCUCAGUGGACCUACUGCCGGUGUUCUUAACCGUUUCCUUCCUAAGUUGAACUUCUUUUGAGGUUAAUGUUUAUAUACAAUUACUUUAACAUUGGAUUUGGGAAAUGUAACAACAUACUGCUGAUCUUUCUGCUACAGAUGAAAGAAGAAGGUGAGUUUUACCUUGUAGAGCUUUACAGUGUAAACAAGCAGUAUUAGGUUUUGUUUUUACCUUCUCCCCUUUGGCCUUGUCACAGAAGC